GUCUAUGGCCAUGCCACCCUGAACAUGCCUGAUCUCCUCAGCUCUUGGAAGCUAAGCAGGGUUAGGCCUGGUUAGGACUUAGAUGGGAGACCACAUGGAAAUACUAGGUGCUGUUGGCU
ensembl:rRNA 5S_rRNA 5S ribosomal RNA